rnacentral:rRNA from 1 species
GACAGAGGGGGCAAGCGUUGCUCGGAAUCACUGGGCGUAAAGGGCGCGUAGGCGGGAUGGCAAGUCGGUCGUGAAAUCCCUCGGCUCAACUGAGGAUCGUCGAUCGAUACUGCCGUUCUUGAGGAUUGCAGAGGAGACUGGAAUUCCCGGUGUAGCGGUGAAAUGUGUAGAGAUCGGGAGGAACACCGGUGGCGAAGGCGGGUCUCUGGGCAAUUCCUGACGCUGAGGCGCGAAAGCGUGGGGAGCAGACGGG